rnacentral:rRNA from 1 species
GCCGCCGCGGUAAUACGGAGGAUGCGAGCGUUAUCCGGAUUUAUUGGGUUUAAAGGGAGCGUAGGUGGUCUGUUAAGCCAGCUGUGAAAUACUGUAGCUCAACUACAGCCGUGCAGUUGGAACUGGCGGACUUGAGUGCACAAGAGGAAGGUGGAAUUCAUGGUGUAGCGGUGAAAUGUUUAGAUAUCAUGAAGAACUCCGAUUGCGAAGGCAGCCUUCUGGGGUGCAACUGACACUGAUGCUCGAAAGUGUGGGUAUCGAACAGGAUUAGAUACCCC